AGAGUUUGAUCCUGGCUCAGGACGAACGCUGGCGGCGUGCUUAACACAUGCAAGUCGAACGAGGUCCACUGAGUAGCAAUACAAGGGAAGACCUAGUGGCGAACGGGUGAGUAUCACGUGAGAAACCAACCCCGGUCUCUGGGAUAACAGUUGGAAACGACUGCUAAUACUGGAUGUCGUCGUACCCUCGCAUGGGGGGAUGACGAAAGGGUUACCGGAUCGGGACGGUCUCGCGGCCUAUCAGCUUGUUGGGGAGGUAACGGCUCACCAAGGCUUCGACGGGUAGCUGGUCUGAGAGGAUGAUCAGCCACACUGGGACUGAGACACGGCCCAGACUCCUACGGGAGGCAGCAGUGGGGAAUCUUGCGCAAUGGGCGAAAGCCUGACGCAGCAACGCCGCGUGCGGGAUGAAGGCCUUCGGGUUGUAAACCGCUUUUAACAGGAACGAAAAUGACGGUACCUGUAGAAUAAGGUGCGGCCAACUACGUGCCAGCAGCCGCGGUGACACGUAGGCACCAAGCGUUGUCCGGAUUUAUUGGGCGUAAAGAGCUCGUAGGCGGUUCAGUAAGUCGGGUGUGAAAACUCUGGGCUUAACCCAGAGACGCCACUCGAUACUACUGUGACUAGAGUUCGGUAGGGGAGCGGGGAAUUCCUAGUGUAGCGGUGAAAUGCGCAGNUAUUNNNNNNAACACCGGUGGCGANNNCGCCGCUCUGGGCCGAUACUGACGCUG
rnacentral:rRNA from 1 species